CAAUUUGGCGAGACUUCGAAAACCGGCGGUCCACUGGACAGGGGAAGAGGAGACACGGGCGGCGACGCCGUCACGAUCCGCACCCGCGAUCUGCCCCCCUCCUCUCCCUCCGCCUCCCGCCCGUCCGCCUCGCGGGAAAUCACGCGCCGCGACGCCCGAAUCGCCUCGAUCCGGCCGCGGAAUCGGCCCGCGGCAGCCUCCCCUACCCACUCGCGCGAGUCGUCGGCUCAGAUAAUAGACUCGAUAUGUGGAUCCUGAAAGUUUGAUCUCGUUGGUUUGGAUUGAAGUGUCAGCUUUCGGUCAGCAUUGUUGCCUUCGCUUCUGUUUGAUGCCUGCUAGUCGAAGGAAGGUGAUGCUGGAUGACGCUGAAGGACUUUGAAAGCAUAGGGGUCCGAGGAAGUUUUGUUUGCCACCAUGAGGGUCAAUUUUGGGUACCUUGUGGCCGUGAUGGCUCAAUACUCUGCGCCCACAUGGGCUACUUUAGUUGCUGGGCUCUUCAUGCUGCUUGCACUUUCGCUCUCCACGUACCUGAUAUUUGAGCAUCUCUCGGCCUACAACAAUCCAGAGGAACAGAAAUUUGUACUGGGUGUUAUCCUCAUGGUCCCUUGCUAUGCAAUUGAGUCGUAUAUUUCUUUGAUAAAUCCAAAUACGAGUGUUUACUGUGGCAUCCUGCGCGAUGGUUAUGAAGCAUUUGCAAUGUACUGCUUUGGAAGAUAUAUUACUGCAUGUUUAGGUGGCGAAGAUAAAACAAUAGCUUUUUUGAAAAGGGAGGGUGGCUCAGGUUCUGGGCAACCUCUACUACAUCAUGCCUCUGAGAAGGGAAUCAUACACCAUCAUUUUCCUGUAAAUUUUAUAUUGAAACCAUGGACAUUGGGGACGCGGUUCUACCUGAUUAUCAAAUUUGGAAUCUUCCAAUAUAUGAUCAUAAAGACCCUCACAGCUACCUUAUCUCUUCUUCUAGAACCUUUUGGUGUGUAUUGUGAUGGAGAAUUCAAUUUACGAUGUGGGUACCCUUACUUCGCUGCAGUUCUCAACUUUAGUCAAUAUUGGGCCCUGUACUGUCUGGUGGCAUGGUACACAGCUACGAAGGACGAAUUGGCACCUAUAAAGCCUCUCGCUAAGUUUCUUUCUUUCAAAUCUAUAGUAUUCUUGACUUGGUGGCAAGGUGUGGUGAUCGCAAUAUUGUAUGCUUUGGGCCUUCUUAGAGGUCCUUUAGCCCAGAGCUUGGAGUUAAAAUCAAGCAUUCAAAACUUCAUUAUUUGCAUAGAGGUAUCUGAUAGCGUGAUGUCUUCCUUCUGGACAGAUGGGCAUAGCUUCAGCUGUUCACCUCUAUGUGUUCCCAGCCGAGCCCUAUGCACUCUUAGCUAAUCAGUCACCUGGAAACAUUUCUGUACUUGGGGAUUGUGCAUCCUCUGAUCCUGUGGACCCUUUUGAAAUUACAGAAAGCAACCGGCCUACCAAAAUGAAGUUUCCACAGUUGGAACCAGAUGAGAGAAACGUGACAAACAUAAAAGAAAGUGUUCGGGACUUUGUUGUUGGCAGUGGAGAAUAUGUGAUCAAGGAUUUCAAGUUCACUGUUGACCAAGCAGUAAAGCCAGUGGAGAAGCGCUUUGAUAAAUUGAUGAAAAAGAAGGACAAGCGUAAGAAAACCCAGGAUGACAACUUGGUGAGUGCAGCAACACCAAAGAGACCAAUUCGUGGGAUUGAUGAUCCUCUAUUAAGUGGGAGUGCAAGUGACAGUGGCGUCAUGAAGGGAAAAAAACAUCACAAAGUUGUGGGCUCAGCUGGUGCUAUGGACAGCUGGGGAGGUGGUGAUCAGUCAUCUGAUGGUUAUGAGAUCAGAGGUCACCGCUGGGCUGUAAAGAACUAACGAUUCUACUUUGCAGGAUUGGUAAAUCCAAACCAUAUCACGUGGAAAAAAAAGACAUUGAUAUGUUUGCCGGUAAACUUGCAGGCAAGUCUUUCUGCUACAGUAUUGUGUAGAUAACUGAUAGAUAGCCUCUGUGCAUAAGUUCUAACUUUUCUUUUAAAAUUUUUUCCAAGUCACAUUGAUAUGUGGUAUUGCAAAAAUUGAGAAGGAACAUUUUCUUUCUUUAGAGAUGGAAGCGCCUCAUUGGCUGAUUGCCUCCAUUGUAACUUAUUACAGUCCAUACAAUGAUACACUGCAUAAGAAAAGUGCCGAAAUUGUAUACUAGAACGCGGCUGGUGGUUGGUGCUGGUUUGUUGUGAAAGAAAAAUACUGCUGACU